rnacentral:rRNA from 1 species
GAUGAACGCUGGCGGCGUGCCUAAUACAUGCAAGUCGAGCGAACGGACGAGAAGCUUGCUUUUCUGAUGUUAGCGGCGGACGGGUGAGUAACACGUGGAUAACCUACCUAUAAGACUGGGAUAACUUCGGGAAACCGGAGCUAAUACCGGAUAAUAUUUUGAACCGCAUGGUUCAAAGUUAAAAAAGGGCUUGCUGUCACUUAUAGAUUGAUCCGCGCUGCAUUAGCUAGUUGGUAAGGUAACGGCUUACCAAGGCAACGAUGCAUAGCCGACCUGAGAGGGUGAUCGGCCACACUGGAACUGAGACACGGUCCAGACUCCUACGGGAGGCAGCAGUAGGGAAUCUUCCGCAAUGGGCGAAAGCCUGACGGAGCAACGCCGCGUGAGUGAUGAAGGUCUUCGGAUCGUAAAACUCUGUUAUUAGGGAAGAACAUAUGUGUAAGUAACUGUGCACAUCUUGACGGUACCUAAUCAGAAAGCCACGGCUAACUACGUG